rnacentral:rRNA from 1 species
AAAAGAAACUAACAAGGAUUCCCCUAGUAACUGCGAGUGAAGCGGGAAGAGCUCAAAUUUAAAAUCUGGCAGUCUUUUGGCUGUCCGAGUUGUAAUCUAGAGAAGUGUUAUCCGCGCUGGACCGUGUACAAGUCUCCUGGAAUGGAGCAUCAUAGAGGGUGAGAAUCCCGUCUUUGACAUGGACUGCCAGGGCUUUUGUGAUGCGCUCUCAAAGAGUCGAGUUGUUUGGGAAUGCAGCUCAAAAUGGGUGGUAAAUUCCAUCUAAAGCUAAAUAUUGGCGAGAGACCGAUAGCGAACAAGUACCGUGAGGGAAAGAUGAAAAGAACUUUGGAAAGAGAGUUAAACAGUACGUGAAAUUGCUGAAAGGGAAACGCUUGAAGUCAGUCGCGUCUUCCAGGGAUCAACCUCGCUUUUGCUUGGUGCACUUUCUGGUUUGACGGGUCAGCAUCAAUUUYGACCGUUGGAAAAAGGUCAAGGGAAUGUGGCAUCCUUGGAUGUGUUUAUAGCCCUUGGCUGCAUGCAAUGGUUUGGGAUUGAGGAACUCAGCACGCGCCGCAAGGCCCUUCGGGUGUCAAAACCACGUACGUGCUUAGGAUGCUGACAUAUAUAAUGGCUUUAAUCGACCCGUCUUGAAACACGGACCAAGGAGUCUAACAUGCCUGCGAGUGUUUGGGUGGAAAACCCGAGCGCGUAAUGAAAGUGAAAGGUUGAGAUCCCUGUCGUGGGGAGCAUCGACGCCCGGACCAGACCUUUUGUGACGGUUCCGCGGUAGAGCAUGUAUGUUGGGACCCGAAAGAUGGUGAACUAUGCCUGAAUAGGGUGAAUCCAGAGGAAACUCUGGUGGAGGCUCGUAGCGAUUCUGACGUGCAAAUCGAUCGUCAAAUUUGGGUAUAGGGGCGAAAGACUAAUCG